GAUGAACGCUGGCGGCGUGCCUAAUACAUGCAAGUCGAGCGAACAGACGAGGAGCUUGCUCCUCUGACGUUAGCGGCGGACGGGUGAGUAACACGUGGAUAACCUACCUAUAAGACUGGGAUAACUUCGGGAAACCGGAGCUAAUACCGGAUAAUAUAUUGAACCGCAUGGUUCAAUAGUGAAAGACGGUUUUGCUGUCACUUAUAGAUGGAUCCGCGCCGCAUUAGCUAGUUGGUAAGGUAACGGCUUACCAAGGCGACGAUGCGUAGCCGACCUGGGAGGGUGAUCGGCCACACUGGAACUUAGACACGGUCCAGACUCCUACGGGAGGCAGCAGUAGGGAAUCUUCCGCAAUGGGCGAAAGCCUGACGGAGCAACGCCGCGUGAGUGAUGAAGGUCUUCGGAUCGUAAAACUCUGUUAUUAGGGAAGAACAAAUGUGUAAGUAACUAUGCACGUCUUGACGGUACCUAAUCAGAAAGCCACGGCUAACUACGUG
rnacentral:rRNA from 1 species